AGUGGCCGCCACCCGCAUGACCCAACCAGGGCCGGGGACAAACUGCAACCAAGGAAAAUGGAGGACAUCAGCAAGAGUUUGAAGAUAUGUAAGUUGUCAAAUGGACAUAAGGACAUCAAUAAGUUUGACUCCGUGAAGCUCUGUCCAGGAUUUUAUUAGAUUGCUUUUUUCCCCAAUAUACCUGUAUUGGAAGAUUGAGACAAAAAGGCACAAACUCACAUUAAAUAAGGCCAGAGCCCAGCACCCCUCCUACAGAGGCACUGCUGCUUCCAGCUGGGACUGUGACCCUGGAAAUCUAAUGGAAGCAGCUAUCUGAAGGAGCAUGGCACAUCCUCAGAAAAAGCAGAAAAAAUUGAAGGCUCUUGCUGCUGACGGAACUCCACCACAGAUACAGUCGGCCCUCGUUUAUCGGGGUUAAUCCAUUCCAGACUCUAGUGUUGCACCUGGCGUUGAAGGAUUCCUGGGGAGCUCGAAUACAUAGGCCUACA